CACCCAGACUCCUACGGGAGGCAGCAGUGGGGAAUAUUGGACAAUGGGGGGAACCCUGAUCCAGCGACGCCGCGUGGGUGAAGAAGCGCCUCGGCGCGUAAAGCCCUGUCAGCAGGGAAGAAAAUGACGGUACCUGAAGAAGAAGCCCCGGCUAACUACGUGCCAGCAGCCGCGGUAAUACGUAGGGGGCAAGCGUUAUCCGGAUUUACUGGGUGUAAAGGGAGCGUAGACGGCAGUGCAAGUCUGGAGUGAAAGGCGGGGGCUCAACCCCCGGACUGCUCUGGAAACUGUACGGCUGGAGUGCAGGAGAGGUAAGUGGAAUUCCUAGUGUAGCGGUGAAAUGCGUAGAUAUUAGGAGGAACACCAGUGGCGAAGGCGGCCUGCUGGACGGUGUACUGACGCUGAGGCUCGAAAGCGUGGAGAGCAAACAGGAUUAGAUACCCCAGUAC
rnacentral:rRNA from 1 species